AACGAACGCUGGCGGCAUGCCUAACACAUGCAAGUCGAACGAGACCUUCGGGUCUAGUGGCGCACGGGUGCGUAACGCGUGGGAACCUGCCCUUAGGUUCGGAAUAACUCCCCGAAAGGGGUGCUAAUACCGGAUAAUGUCUUCGGACCAAAGAUUUAUCGCCUUUGGAUGGGCCCGCGUUGGAUUAGCUAGUUGGUAGGGUAAAAGCCUACCAAGGCGACGAUCCAUAGCUGGUCUGAGAGGAUGGUCAGCCACACUGGGACUGAGACACGGCCCAGACUCCUACGGGAGGCAGCAGUGGGGAAUACUGGACAAUGGACGAAAGCCUGAUCCAGCAAUGCCGGGUGAGUGAUGAAGGCCUUAGGGUUGUAAAGCUCUUUUACCCGGGAUGAUAAUGACAGUACCGGGAGAAUAAGCUCCGGCUAACUCCGUG
rnacentral:rRNA from 1 species